AUUGAAGGUCCGGUAACCUUCCAUUGGUGUAGCUCUGAGACUCCAAGCCCUCGUUGGAGGAUGAAGACAGUCGGUCAUCCAGUCACAAAGGGCCUCCGGGAAGCUGGAAAAUGACCGGAAAGCCAAGAAAGCUCUAGCUGUUCAAACGUGAACGCCACUAGAAUAGCGACAAUGGGAAGUCCCACGGAGCUUUUGCGAAAAGGCGGACUGGGCAGUGCGCUCUUGGCCACGGAAGGUGGCGCUGCUGAGCCUGCGGGGACAGGCUCUCCCGGACCCAACCAUCCUGGCUAAAAAGAAACUUGCGGCUUCUACAGUGAAUUCCCGGGUGUGUCUCCUUUCUCGUCCACCGCAAAGGCGGGAAAUAAAGCCGGCCCCCGGGGACAAAGCGGCGCCUCCACCCACGCAGCUGCGGGGAGCCGGGAGGGGAGGGGAAGGAGGCGGAGGACGGUUGUCAUGGCGACGAGCCAGCAUCUGAAGCCACUGAAAGGACUCUUUGUUUUGAAGCCAGCUGACGGGUGGUGCGGUUUCUAAGGUGCAGGGGGAGGCGGGUCUCGCCAGAGUCACUCGGGUUGCGCUGCGGGGACCAUCGGCUCCCACGCAGGCCAGCCCUCCGAUGGCGCCGGACACCUGCUUCCUGUCCUCUCUGCUAGCAUCGACUUCACUAAGGACUGGGCGAGCAGGCUCAGGGAAGCCAAACAGACUCAGUUUUCUGGAAGAAAAACAGAAAGGGACCACCUUACAGAGACUAGAAUUGGCCAGCGCUGGUCUCUCCCUUGUGAGAACCAGUCCCUGGGGCGAGCUGGAGGUGUAGAGAUUUCCCGAGUACUCAAUAAUCAGUAUGUAUGGUAUGGGGUAGCGAGUGUGAGCUCUCGCGUCUGUAUUUGCAUUUCAGGAAGUGGUUGCUUAGGCAGCAGUGAGACUAGCGGUUGGGAAAUGAAAACUCUCGGAACAGCCUGUAGCUUUCAGUUUUGCCGUGUGUACUAUGCAUUAUCUGUAAAGCAAAAGCAAAAGUUUAAAGAAGGAACUUUUAAAAGUG